rnacentral:rRNA from 1 species
UACGUAGGGUGCAAGCGUUGUCCGGAAUUAUUGGGCGUAAAGAGCUCGUAGGCGGUCUGUCACGUCGGCUGUGAAAACCUGGGGCUCAACUCCGGGCCUGCAGCCGAUACGGGCAGACUAGAGUUCGGCAGGGGAGACUGGAAUUCCUGGUGUAGCAGUGAAAUGCGUAGAUAUCAGGAGGAAUACCGAUGGCGAAGGCAGGUCUCUGGGCUGACACUGACGCUCAUGCACGAAAGCGUGGGGAGCAAACAGG